rnacentral:rRNA from 1 species
UACGUAGGGGGCAAGCGUUGUCCGGAAUCAUUGGGCGUAAAGCGCUCGUAGGUGGAUCGGUAAGUCUGCAAAGAAAGACCCGGGCUCAACUCGGGGAACGGUGUGGAUACUACCGAUCUUGAGGCAAUCAGAGGAUGAUGGAAUUCCCGGUGUAGCGGUGAAAUGCGUAGAUAUCAGGAGGAACACCUGUGGUGUAGACAGCUUACUGGACCAUUUCUGACGCCGAGACACGAAAGCGUGGGUAGCAAACAGG